GGCAUUGCCGGGUAGCUAAGUUCGGAAGAGAUAACCGCUGAAAGCAUCUAAGCGGGAAACUCGUUUCAAGAUUAGAUCUGCCGGGGCCUUGAGCCCCCUGAAGAGUCGUUCAAGACCAGGACGUUGAUAGGCAGGGUGUGGAAGCGCAGUAAUGCGUUAAGCUAACCUGUACUAAUUGCUCGUGCGGCUUGACCCUAUAACUUUG
rnacentral:rRNA from 1 species